rnacentral:lncRNA from 1 species
AUGCUGCUAAAGAUAACUCGAGGCUUGACAUUAGUUGGCAGGGCCGGGUCGAGCCCGAGGAGACCGCAACCCGAGUGGCGGCUCGCCGCGGGAGAGCGUGGCCAGCACGCGCGUCCGCGGGGCCCCGGGAACCCAGGGAGGAGCACUUACGUGGAGCCACCUGGGUGCCAGGGCUGCAGGUCCGGGAGGCAGCAGGUGUGGCGCUGGCCGGCGGCCGAGGCCCCCAGCAUCCCGCCGGCGUCAGGCCGGACCCCGGGACGCUGCCCCGCACCUGCAAUGCGGCUCGUACUCCGCCCGGGCCGGCGGUUGCGGCCGUUGCGCCGCGCCUCCCCCCCACGCCGCUGCGCAGCCUGGCGCCCAGCCCCGAGGGCGAGCCUCCUCAUCAGCGCAGGUGCGCGCCUCACCUGCCACGCUCCCUCAGGCGGCUGCGGCGCUCGGCCUGCUCCUCGAGGUGGCCCGCGGCCCAUGGGCAGGGACGGUCGGAGCCGGGUGCGCAGCGGCCCUGCCGCGGGGCACGAAGACUCAAGAGACGCCGCCCGGCCGGCGCAUCCCACCCGCUCCCUCAGAACGCUCGCCGCAGUGCACGCCGGGAGCCGUUGGCGGCCGGGCUGGUCCUCGCACCCGAGGCUGUCUGAGGGGAGGAUGCGGCGCCGACGCGGCGGCGGUCUGCUACAGAGGGGAGGACCGUGCGGAUCGAUGCUCUCGCUGCAGAGGGGAAGGGGGCGCCGCCCCGCUCCCUGCGGCUGCGUCAGGGCAGAGGCGAGGGCGAGGAGGAGGAAAGAAAAAAAAAAAACCCCGAGGGAUGUUAGUAACACGCAAGCGCACUGCUCAGCACGGCACAGUCCCGGCCGAGGUCUCCCAGCAUCCCGCCGAGGUGAUGAGGACCUCCGCGCUGCCCCAGCAAGCCCGGCUGCCGCCGCCGGACGCCUCCAUUGUCUGACCACCGCCUGGGCCCGGCUCGCCGCAGAACUGGGUGCUAAGCCUCAGCUGGAACCCAGGAGCCUGCAUGAAAGCUACAUGAAUCAACUGCAUAUUCCCAAGACCUGCAAGUCCAAGAGACGUCCGUCCCUCUGGAAGAUAAGAGAGCUUCCUCUUCAGGAUCAAAAAAAAAAGAAAACCAGCGUGCUGCUGUAUAGAGUCCCCAGGAGCAAGACUGGCUGUGCCUGGAGCCAAGGAACCUUCAUGCUGUCAGGGCCUGUCAUCUGA